GGUGCCAGCCGCCGCGGUAACACCGGCGGCUCGAGUGGUAACCGUUAUUAUUGGGGUCUAAAGGGUCUGUAGCCGGCCGGAUAAGUCUCUUGAGAAAUCUGGCAGCUUAACUGUCAGGCUUUCAGGAGAUACUGUCUGGCUCGAGGCCGGGAGAGGUGAGAGGUACUUCAGGGGUAGGGGUGAAAUCUUGUAAUCCUUGGGGGACCACCUGUGGCGAAGGCGCCUCACCAGAACGGCUCCGACAGUGAGGGACGAAAGCUGGGGGAGCAAACCGGAUUAGAUACCCGGGUAGUCCCAGCCGUAAACGAUGCACGUUAGGUGUAUCGAUGACCACGAGUCAUCGAGGUGCCGAAGGGAAACCGUGAAACGUGCCGCCUGGGAAGUACGGUCGCAAGGCUGAAACUUAAAGGAAUUGGCGGGGGAGCACCACAACAGGUGGAGCCUGCGGUUUAAUCGGACUCAACGCCGGAAAUCUCACCGGAUAAGACAGCUGAAUGAUAGCCGGGCUGAAGACUCUGCUUGACUAGCUGAGAAGAAA
rnacentral:rRNA from 1 species